rnacentral:rRNA from 1 species
AUUGAACGCUGGCGGCAGGCUUAACACAUGCAAGUCGAGCGAGCGGCGGACGGGUGAGCAAUGUCUGGGAAACUGCCUGACGGAGGGGGAUAACUACUGGAAACGGUAGCUAAUACCGCAUACCAUGAGCUGUGCCCAGAGGGGAUUAGCUAGUAGGUGGGGUAAUGGCUCACCUAGGCGACGAUCCCUAGCUGGUCUGAGAGGAUGACCGGCCACACUGGAACUGAGACACGGUCCAGACGCCUACGGGAGGAAGCAGUGGGGAAUAUUGCGCAAUGGGCGCAAGCCUGAUGCAGCCAUGCCGCGGGUGUGAAGAAGGCCUUCGGGGUGUAAAGCACUGUCGGCGAGGAGGCGUUACUCGCCGAAGAAGCACCGGCUAACUCCGUGCCAGCAGCCGCGGUAAUAC